UUUUAUCUCUCAGAAACAAAAACGAAAAGCAAAAUUGAAGCUUUCAUCCUUGUUUCGCUUUUGAUUUACUGGGGAAAAGUCUUUCAUCUUCGAUUUCGUUCAUUUUGGAAUCAAAGAUCCCAAAGAGAGAAAUCAGGGUUCAUAAAUGUCUCUCUGGUUUGGUUUUCAGUAUGUUUUAAUCAAGGGAUUUUUUUGAUUUCGAUGUGGAUUUUGAUUUAGAAGGGUAAAUUGAUGUUUUCUGAAAUUCGAAACUGGGGAAAUUGAUGUUUUGAUUUAUUGUUAUUUUUCUUUUGAGAAUCAAUGUUAGGGUUUGGUGAUGAAGUGGGUAUGGAUUGGUUUUUCCAUCAUACUACGUCAAACCCAAUUUUCUGUCAAUUGAGAAAUGAUUACAUGUGAGAAUUUCUGUGUUUUUUCUUGUAAUUUUACGCAUUAAAUUUCUGUACUCAACUGUGAAGUUCCCGGAUCUUGUGAGAGUCCUCAAUUGAGAAAAUUGAUGCUUAUUAACCUGUGGAAAGAUAAUUUUGAGUCUAUAUUUCUUGAAUAUCAGGGAUGGGUGAUGUUUGUUUUCUUUUUCCUAUGGAUUUCAGUUAUUCAAACUCUGAUUGUGUUUGUCGAAUUAUCUGUCAUUUCUGAUUUUGUGAUAUGGUGAUGUUGAUUCAAGGAUGUUUUCAUGGCCAAAUUUAUACAAUUGAUAGAGAUUUGUACAUCGAAUAAGGCGAUUAUUAGAAUUACUGGGUAUAUAUUCAAUCAAUUCUUCAUUUGUAAACUUGGAGUUUUGUUGACAUUGUUUGCGAAGUAUUACACUGCAUUUUUGAUUUAAUGUUCCACCUGAAAUUAGCGUUGUCGAACUGAACUAUAUGUCAUAUGUGAUGUAGUGAUGUUGAUUCAAGGAUAUUUUUAUUCCCAAAGUUACAAUCGAUGGAGAUUCGCGUACAUCGGCUAUGCGAUUAAUAAAAUUACUGGAUGAAUUUCAACUUCAUUCAAUGAAUUCCCCUUUUCAUUUGGAAACUCAGAGUUUCCUUAAUUGUUAACUGGUUCUUAAGCGUUGAUGCUAGUUGCGAGAGUACAUGUUUGGAUCAUGCAUUAGCUUUUAGUUUAUAUUCUUUGGUUUGAGUUCUGAAUUCUUCAUAUGUUUAAGUUCUUAAAUUGAUUUUCCAAGGCUGAAAAAACACGAGUUUUCUUACAUUACAUUUGAUUAUGGGUAUUGGGUAUUUGAGAAAAGAUUCUUUUUUUUGGGUUCCGCGGGUGUUUUAGAUUCCACUAAUUUUCUUAGUUUAAUAAUAGAAUAAUUUGUUCAAUUACAUUUCCCUCACACGGCACACAUAUAUGUAAAAUUUGAGUAAGAUAGUGGUCUAAUACAUUGCAUUUUGACAUUUCUCAGCGAGCUCACUAGCAUGUAUGACCCGAAGCAAGUAAAAGACAUCAGUUUGGAUGAUUUGGAUAUGGCUUUGAAGGAAUCAGGUCUGGAACAUGCAUUUAUUUCUGGUGAAAACAAUAUAAGGAAACACAUAGGUUGAUCUGGUUGAUUUUUAAUUAUAGUCAGUACUUAACCCCAUCCUAUUGCUCUGUAACUUCAACUGUUAGGAGAUGCCCGGACUUGUUAAUAAGAUUUCAAAAUUUCUCUUGAUUCUUUAGGACAUACAUCAGUACUUCAUCAGAAUUGUCCUCUUUAACAUUCCUCAAGUCACAAAAGUGGUUGGUUUUUCAAAAUGUUUAAUGAAUAGUUGCAGGUUAUUGGUUAUAACAUUGACGAAUACAUAUAUCUGCAUUGGCUUCAUUAGUAAUCUGUGGAAAAUGAAAAUUAACUUUCAAGAUUGUGCAAGUUAUAAGAGAUGGGAGCAUACAAGUGCUCGACUUUAAUGAUGCUACUUCUACGUCAUAACAUCACUCUGUGGACCUCCUGUAUGCAGGACUAAAUUAAACAUUCAACACAAGCACCAGCAACGGCCGUGGAAUAAGUAUGUGCAGGAAUGAAUUUGCUUUAAUCUGCUGAUAUAUUUUCAAUGUCUGUUUUUAUUUUUCUUCAUAAGGAUGUUAUAUAUUGAUUCAUUUAAUCUGCAAAUUUAUUGAAGGCAUUCUCACGGUUGAUAACGGGGAUUGCAAUUGAUAUAGUAGCUAGUAGUUGCUGUAAAACGGAUAACUUAAAUUAACUUUAAGAAGUAUAAUGA